rnacentral:rRNA from 1 species
UACAUGGGGUGCAAACGUUGCUCGGAAUUAUUGGGCGUAAAGCGCACGUAGGCGGUUUGUUAAGUCGGAUGUGAAAUCCCUGGGCUCAACCGAGGAAGUGCAUCCGAAACUGGCGAGCUAGAGUACGAAAGAGGAUCGCGGAAUUCCCGGUGUAGAGGUGAAAUUCGUAGAUAUCGGGAGGAACACCGGUGGCGAAGGCGGCGAUCUGGGUCGAUACUGACGCUGAGACGCGAAAGCGUGGGGAGCAAACAGG